UACGUAGGGUGCAAGCGUUGUCCGGAAUUAUUGGGCGUAAAGAGCUCGUAGGCGGUCUGUCGCGUCGGCUGUGAAAACUCGGGGCUCAACUCCGAGCUUGCAGUCGAUACGGGCAGGCUAGAGUUCGGCAGGGGGAGACUGGAAUUCCUGGUGUAGCGGUGAAAUGCGCAGAUAUCAGGAAGAACACCCGUGGCGAAGGCGGCUCUCUGGGACGGUACUGACGCUGAGACGCGAAAGCGUGGGGAGCGAACAGG
rnacentral:rRNA from 1 species